CACGUAGGGUGCGAGCGUUGUCCGGAAUUAUUGGGCGUAAAGAGCUCGUAGGCGGUGUGUCGCGUCGGCCGUGAAAACCUGCAGCUUAACUGUGGGCUUGCGGUCGAUACGGGCAUCACUGGAGUUCGGCAGGGGAGACUGGAAUUCCUGGUGUAGCGGUGAAAUGCGCAGAUAUCAGGAGGAACACCGGUGGCGAAGGCGGGUCUCUGGGCCGUAACUGACGCUCAUGCACGACAGCGUGGGGAUCAAACAGG
rnacentral:rRNA from 1 species